rnacentral:rRNA from 1 species
UACGAAGGGGGCUAGCGUUGUUCGGAUUUACUGGGCGUAAAGCGCGCGUAGGCGGAUUUUUAAGUCAGGGGUGAAAUCCCGAGGCUCAACCUCGGAAUUGCCUUUGAUACUGGAAGUCUUGAGUUCGGAAGAGGUGAGUGGAAUUGUGAGUGUAGAGGUGAAAUUCGUAGAUAUUCACAAGAACACCGGUGGCGAAGGCGGCUCACUGGUCCGAAACUGACGCUGAGGUGCGAAAGCGUGGGGAGCAAACAGG